GGAGGAGCUUGCGUCACAUUAGUUAGUUGGUGGGGUAAAGGCCUACCAAGACUAUGAUGUGUAGCCGGGCUGAGAGGUUGAACGGCCACAUUGGGACUGAGACACGGCCCAAACUCCUACGGGAGGCAGCAGUAGGGAAUUUUCGGCAAUGGAGGAAACUCUGACCGAGCAACGCCGCGUGAACGAUGAAGUAUUUCGGUACGUAAAGUUCUUUUAUUAGGGAAGAAUAAAUGAUGGAAAAAUCAUUCUGACGGUACCUAAUGAAUAAGCCCCGGCUAACUAUGUGCCAGCAGCCGCGGUAAUACAUAGGGGGCAAGCGUUAUCCGGAAUUAUUGGGCGUAAAGGGUGCGUAGGCGGUUAAAUAAGUUUAUGGUCUAAGUGCAAUGCUCAACAUUGUGAUGCUAUAAAAACUGUUUAGCUAGAGUAAGAUAGAGGCAAGUGGAAUUCCAUGUGUAGUGGUAAAAUGCGUAAAUAUAUGGAGGAACACCAGUAGCGAAGGCGGCUUGCUGGGUCUUUACUGACGCUGAGGCACGAAAGCGUGGGGAGCAAACAGGAUUAGAUACCCUGGUAGUCCACGCCGUAAACGAUGAGUACUAAACGUUGGGUAAAACCAGUGUUGAAGUUAACACAUUAAGUACUCCGCCUGAGUAGUACGUACGCAAGUAUGAAACUUAAAGGAAUUGACGGGACUCCGCACAAGCGGUGGAUCAUGUUGUUUAAUUCGAAGGUACCCGAAAAACCUCACCAGGUCUUGACAUGCUUCUGCAAAACUGUAGAAACACAGUGGAGGUUAUCAGUUGCACAGGUGGUGCAUGGUUGUCGUCAGCUCGUGUCGUGAGAUGUUGGGUUAAGUCCCGCAACGAGCGCAACCCUUNUUGNUAGUUACCAGCACGUAAUGGUGGGGACUUUAGCAAGACUGCCGGUGAUAAAU
rnacentral:rRNA from 1 species